rnacentral:rRNA from 1 species
UAACUGGAGGGAAGGUGGGGAUGACGUCAAAUCAUCAUGCCCCUUAUGACCUGGGCUACACACGUGCUACAAUGGACAGAACAAAGGGCUGCAAGACCGCAAGGUUUAGCCAAUCCCAUAAAUCUGUUCUCAGUUCGGAUCGCAGUCUGCAACUCGACUGCGUGAAGCUGGAAUCGCUAGUAAUCGCGGAUCAGCAUGCCGCGGUGAAUACGUUCCCGGGCCUUGUACACACCGCCCGUCACACCACGAGAGUUUGCAACACCCGAAGUCGGUGAGGUAACCUUUAUGGAGCCAGCCGCCGAAGGUGGGGCAGAUGAUGGGGUAAGUCGAAUAAUUUGAUAA